AUGGGUUUUGAAGACCAUGAAAAUUUUGAAACAAAGAAAAUACACCUAAGGACCCAUCAUGAUAUGGAUUUUGAAGUAAAUCUAUACAAUUCUCAGGGCGUAACCCAUUUUGGUUGCCAAAAUUGGGAAGAACUUUGCAAAAUGUAUGGUUUUUAUGAGGGUAUGAUUGUCACCAUGGAUCUUGGUGAUCCUGACAUCGAGCAAAACAAUAUGGACAUUUGGGUCCUUGUUGAUACGCUUCCCAUUCUACCGUUAUCUUAUUUUCAUUCUUCAAACAAUGUGCGAAAGAUGGUAGACAAAACCCACUACACCGAUGGCUCCGAAUUAACUUAUAAGGAGAAAAAUCAUCUGAUCGCAUUUUGUACUGAUCUUGAGAAUUACAAUACCUAUUAUCGAACUCCUCUAAAUUAUGGUGAAUACGUGCCACUAGUGCACGUGUUGAACCAUGGUAACUUCUAUGGAGAUACCCUGAAAAUCCCGAUGGAUUGUGUGCCUCAUCUGAUGUAUCAGAAUGGUCGCCUUGAUGUUCUGAACAUACAGCCAGGUCAUCCUACGGAUCUCACCUGUGCAUAUCGGAUUUCUAAAACCGGUGAACACAUGCUAAUCAAAGAAUGGAAAAAAUGUUUGGACAUUCGUAAGGAGGUUCUUGGAAGCAAGAUUAAGCGAAAGGCAAGAAUUGGAGACAGGAUAAUCUCCAUUCUCCAUAAUGGAGAGUCAGGGGCUAUCUUGUUUUUUGCUAUUUUACCUUAG
rnacentral:rRNA from 1 species